AGAAAUCCAUCACUGUGCUGCUUUGCGCUACAGCCCUGCGCUUUGUUCAUGUGAAUCAGACAUGAGAAGAUUGCUCUUUCCUUCUCAAAUUAUGUUAUAAUUGCAUAUUCAGCAGUUCAAAUUUU